rnacentral:sRNA from 1 species
GAUGAGAACCUCCGGGGGCAGAGGUUCGACCCGAGCGAAGCGAGAGAACGUUGCGCCAGCAACGGCCCGCAGGGCGAGUCACGCAGUGGCGAGUCAUC